rnacentral:rRNA from 1 species
AACGAACGCUGGCGGCAUGCCUAACACAUGCAAGUCGAACGAGACCUUCGGGUCUAGUGGCGCACGGGUGCGUAACACGUGGGAAUCUGCCCUUGGGUUCGGAAUAACAGUUGGAAACGACUGCUAAUACCGGAUGAUGACGUAAGUCCAAAGAUUUAUCGCCCAAGGAUGAGCCCGCGUAGGAUUAGCUAGUUGGUGAGGUAAAGGCUCACCAAGGCGACGAUCCUUAGCUGGUCUGAGAGGAUGAUCAGCCACACUGGGACUGAGACACGGCCCAGACUCCUACGGGAGGCAGCAGUGGGGAAUAUUGGACAAUGGGCGAAAGCCUGAUCCAGCAAUGCCGCGUGAGUGAUGAAGGCCUUAGGGUUGUAAAGCUCUUUUACCCGGGAUGAUAAUGACAGUACCGGGAGAAUAAGCUCCGGCUAACUCCGUG